UCACAGCAAUCCUGAGAGGGGGGCUGUUGUCAACCCCAACUUUGAGGACCCUGAGGACAUCAAGGGCUUAUAGCUGCCAUUUCUGCAAAGGAAUGUAGCAGUCCUUACGGCUUCACUUGGCCCUGUGACGCAGCUGAUUCAACACCACUUAAGUGGAGUCACUGGAUACAGCUUAGGCAAGCUCUACUGAGAACGACGCAGCCCACGCCUCCAGGGCUAGAGGACAAGUGUGUGGCGUGUUUGCAGAUGGCCAUCAAUUCGUGGCUGUGGGUCUUCAUCAGGCAGCCGGUGGGUCCUGCAUGCAUGGCCUCUCACUCACUGACAGCAGCAGUCUGUCACCCUGUGGAGAUGGCACAUGAGAGAUCUGCACUGGCAGGUGCAGAAGGCCCAGGUAAGCCGUGUGAGCAGGUGGCCUAGAUGCCUUCCAUGGCGGCUCUUGCUUCACUGACUCUUCCUGGGAC
rnacentral:lncRNA from 1 species